CCCCGCCCCCUUCCCUUCCCUUCCGCCUCGCGCUGGGGACCGCUCUAACGGACAAUGUAGGUCGCACGCGCCGAGGCGCAGGACGCCUCCCGCCGUGGGUCUCGUGCGAAGGAGCGAGUGAGAUCAAUAAACCCCCCUCGAAGAGAGUCGGCCAUUCCACAACAAAACGAUAGCCGCUGCCGUUAUGGGAGUUUUGUUUUUAAAAAAAAGAAACAUCGACGACGGAUAGGGGAUUGCUCGCUGUAUAUGUCCAAUCCAUAUUGCAAUCAAUGUCAUAGGUAAGGCAUGGCAUCAGGUGCUGAAUUCACACGACUUGGAACAGAGUUUGAACCUCCUGCUGAUCCCCACUGGCUGUCCAGCCAACUGAGCCAGACAAUCCCUGAGGAAUGAGUUGUUAUGGCAACAUGCUUUUACAUGCAUGUUGUAGCCUGGACUUCUGGAUAGUAAUGGUGGAGGUUCCAAUUUAUUUUCAUCAGCUGACUGACCAGAAAUCUCUCCUGCUCUUACAUCAUGUCACUGUUGUAUAUUGAAAGGAUUUAGAAGUUGAUCAUUCAACCUGUUAGCUAUAUUACGUAACCGUCUUCCUUGACCAUAAUGUCCUAAAGUAGGAUUUAAACCCAAAGCAUCUUGGUCAGGGCAGGGAACAUGCCACUGUGUCACAAGGUCUCUUUUGCUCUGUUGUCCCUGUAUUUUUUACUUCCUCUGCAUCUGUGGCUUGUUGAAUUCUGUGACCACGUUAAAAUAGACACAUUGUUUGAAUGCAUACAAAUCUUAAGAGAAUGUAGCUUCUGCGCACCUUGUUAGUUCUGUGCAUUGUACAUAUCCGAUUGUCGAGCAACUACAUGUUUGCACAGUGGAAUAUUGCUUAUCUUUAUAAUUCUUUAAUACCCAUGCCUAACAAUGCUAUGUCAUUUUGGGUGAGGACCAUUUCAGUUGAUACACCAUCCACAAGUUCUUAAAUAAAGUUCGAUUGCCACUCCACUUGCCUGACUCUACUUUGAAAAUUGUGCUCCUCUAUUCUUACUUUUCAUCGGCUUUCAGUAUCAAAUUGCUUUACCAUUUUAAAUGUCUUGAUUAAAUCACCCUUGAAGCUCCUAAACUCAAGGAAAGCAAGCCAAAAACAUGGCCCAUUUUCAUGAUUUACUCUUAACAGAAGGAUACAAAGGUUUCAAAAUCUGCGCUCUACUUCUGCUAUGUCAAUGUAUUGUUACUUAUUUCACUUGGUAACAUGGACAAGCAUACCUUAAUCUGUCAUCUUCCAAAUUCCUUUUCUGCUAUUUUGAGUUACCUUUUAACCUAGUAUUUUCUGUACUGCAUACCUAUUCUACUCUUCUACCCUUUGGACAGCCUCCAGCUUAUAGUGCCUUGGUUAGCAUUAUGCCUGUCCUACGAUUGCCUUUCUCUGUAUCCGUCACUGGCAUGAUGUAUAUUGCUGUUGGACGGGAUCAGUAUCUGCUGUAGCUCCUAUUUUUGUUCAGUUUUAUCUCACCUGCCAACAGGCUGCCAGCCUGUCCCCUUGCUGUGCUUGUUCUUUCCUUUUGAAGUCUUAUUGUGUGUGCAAAGACGAUAGAACAAUUCUUUGAACAACCUUUUAUACAUGUGUUGAAGUGUCUCUAUCUUGCUUGAGUUGGUUAUGUAUUCCUUCUGAGUUCACAAAAAGAAUACUAUUUUUGGCAGGUCUAUAAUAAUAAUCUUGUUAUAUUUUGUUGGAAUCGUUUUAUAGCUAAUUGUAUUUGUAAUUACAGAGAUACCCCACCCUGGAAUGUAGUUUGUACUUUUUGUAUCUAGACACCCUGAGUAAUGGAAUGAGUAAAUAAAUUAAACAUCAUAAUUGAUAUA